GACGAACGCUGGCGGCGCGCCUAACACAUGCAAGUCGAACGAGCGAGAGAGAGCUUGCUUUCUCGAGCGAGUGGCGAACGGGUGAGUAACGCGUGAGGAACCUGCCUCAAAGAGGGGGACAACAGUUGGAAACGACUGCUAAUACCGCAUAAGCCCACGGCUCGGCAUCGAGCAGAGGGAAAAGGAGCAAUCCGCUUUGAGAUGGCCUCGCGUCCGAUUAGCUAGUUGGUGAGGUAACGGCCCACCAAGGCAACGAUCGGUAGCCGGACUGAGAGGUUGAACGGCCACAUUGGGACUGAGACACGGCCCAGACUCCUACGGGAGGCAGCAGUGGGGAAUAUUGCACAAUGGGGGAAACCCUGAUGCAGCGACGCCGCGUGGAGGAAGAAGGUCUUCGGAUUGUAAACUCCUGUUGUUGGGGAAGAUAAUGACGGUACCCAACAAGGAAGUGACGGCUAACUACGUGCCAGCAGCCGCGGUAAAACGUAGGUCACAAGCGUUGUCCGGAAUUACUGGGUGUAAAGGGAGCGCAGGCGGGAAGACAAGUUGGAAGUGAAAUCUAUGGGCUCAACCCAUAAACUGCUUUCAAAACUGUUUUUCUUGAGUAGUGCAGAGGUAGGCGGAAUUCCCGGUGUAGCGGUGGAAUGCGUAGAUAUCGGGAGGAACACCAGUGGCGAAGGCGGCCUACUGGGCACCAACUGACGCUGAGGCUCGAAAGUGUGGGUAGCAAACAGGAUUAGAUACCCUGGUAGUCCACACCGUAAACGAUGAUUACUAGGUGUUGGAGGAUUGACCCCUUCAGUGCCGCAGUUAACACAAUAAGUAAUCCACCUGGGGAGUACGACCGCAAGGUUGAAACUCAAAGGAAUUGACGGGGGCCCGCACAAGCAGUGGAGUAUGUGGUUUAAUUCGACGCAACGCGAAGAACAUUACCAAGUCUUGACAUCCCUUGACAGGCAUAGAAAUAUGUAAUCUCUUCGGAGCAAGGAGACAGGUGGUGCAUGGUUGUCGUCAGCUCGUGUCGUGAGAUGUUGGGUUAAGUCCCGCAACGAGCGCAACCCUUAUGGUCAGUUACUACGCAAGAGGACUCUGGCCAGACUGCCGUUGACAAAACGGAGGAAGGUGGGGAUGACGUCAAAUCAUCAUGCCCUUUAUGACUUGGGCUACACACGUACUACAAUGGCGUUAAACAAAGAGAAGCAAGACCGCGAGGUGGAGCAAAACUCAGAAACAACGUCCCAGUUCGGACUGCAGGCUGCAACUCGCCUGCACGAAGUCGGAAUUGCUAGUAAUCGUGGAUCAGCAUGCCACGGUGAAUACGUUCCCGGGCCU
rnacentral:rRNA from 1 species